GAUGAACGCUAGCGAUAGGCUUAACACAUGCAAGUCGAGGGGCAGCAUUUCUUUCGGGAAGAUGGCGACCGGCGCACGGGUGAGUAACACGUAUGCAACCUACCCAUUACUUGGGGAUAGCUCGGAGAAAUCCGGAUUAAUACCCGAUAAAACAGGGACACCGCCUGGUGAACUUUGUUAAAGAUUUAUUGGUAAUGGAUGGGCCUGCGUUGGAUUAGCUAGUUGGCAGGGUAACGGCCUACCAAGGCGACGAUCCAUAGGGGAACUGAGAGGUUUAUCCCCCACACUGGUACUGAGACACGGACCAGACUCCUACGGGAGGCAGCAGUGAGGAAUAUUGGUCAAUGGGCGGAAGCCUGAACCAGCCAAGUCGCGUGAAGGAAGACGGUAUUAUGUAUUGUAAACUUCUUUUUUAUGGGAAUAAAGUUUAGGACGCGUCCUAUUUUGUAUGUACCAUGAGAAUAAGCAUCGGCUAACUCCGUGCCAGCAGCCGC
rnacentral:rRNA from 1 species